rnacentral:misc_RNA from 1 species
CCGAGUUUACAACUCCCAAACCCCUGUGAACAUACCUAUCGUUGCCUCGGCGGAUCAGCCCGGCGCCUCGGGCCCGUAGAACGGGACGCGCCCGCCAGAGGACCCCAAACUCUAAUGUUGCUUUAUUAGUAUACUUCUGAGUAAACAAACAAAUAAAUUCA